UACGUAGGAUGCAAGCGUUGUCCGGAAUUAUUGGGCGUAAAGAGCGCGCAGGCGGCCCAUCAAGUCAGAUGUGAAAUAACCAGGCUUAACCUGGUGGGGUCAUUUGAAACUGGCGGGCUAGAGUCCAGCAGAGGAUAGCGGAAUUCCCGGUGUAGUGGUGAAAUGCGUAGAUAUCGGGAGGAACACCAGGGGCGAAGGCGGGCUACUGGGCUGAUACUGACGCUGAUGCGCGAAAGCCAGGGGAGCAAACGGG
rnacentral:rRNA from 1 species